rnacentral:rRNA from 1 species
UACGAAGGGGGCUAGCGUUGCUCGGAAUUACUGGGCGUAAAGCGCACGUAGGCGGCUUUCUAAGUCGGGGGUGAAAUCCUGGAGCUCAACUCCAGAACUGCCUUCGAUACUGGAAAGCUCGAGUCCGGGAGAGGUGAGUGGAACUGCGAGUGUAGAGGUGAAAUUCGUAGAUAUUCGCAAGAACACCAGUGGCGAAGGCGGCUCACUGGCCCGGUACUGACGCUGAGGCGCGAAAGCUAGGGGAGCAAACAGG